UUAUUAUAAAUCUGUUCAUGUAUUCUGUACCUCCUGAAUUAAUAUCUGAUGGUGAAGCUAAGAACAUUGGAAUUACUUUAAUCUGUUAAAAGAUUGUAUGAUUUGAUUUCUUUUUAUAUAUAUAGAGAAGCAUUGGAAGUGAUUCUCAAGGAAGAGCAACAGCUGCUAACAACAAACGUCAGCCUAGUGAAAACCGAAAGCCCUUCAACUUUUUGCCUAUGCAGAUUAAUACUAACAAGAGCAAAGAUGCUGUUACAAGUCUUCAAAAGAGAGAAAUGAUUGGGUCAGCACAAUGUAAAGAGUUGUUUGCUUCUGCAUUAAGUAAUGACCUGUUGCAAAAUUACCAAGUCUCUGAAGAAGAUGGGAGAGGAGAGCCUGCAAUGGAGAGCAGCCAGAUUGUAAGCAGGCUUGUUCAAAUUCGUGACUAUAUUACUAAAGCCAGUUCCAUGCGAGAAGAUCUUGUAGAGAAAAAUGAAAGAUCUGCUAAUGUUGAGCAUCUUACUCAUCUAAUAGAUCACCUUAAAGAACAAGAAAAAUCAUACAUGAAAUUUCUCCAAAAAAUCCUUGUAAGUUUUGGACUUUUUAAUAACACAUUAUUUUUGUAG
rnacentral:lncRNA from 1 species